rnacentral:lncRNA from 1 species
ACAUCCAUGUGGAAAUCGCGGUGAUGGGAACUGGAAAUGAAAUAGGUUCUUUUUCGCAGUUGUUUUUCUGCAGAAAAUCAUCAACUGUGGAGAAGAAGAAGGGAAAUAAGAAAGAAAGAAAACCCUAAAAACCACCCUGGCGCCCGGGCCCGCAGGCCUCGGGCCGGCUCUGAAAAGUUUGGGCUGUGCACGUGAUGAGCGCGUAGGCGGGAGCCCCAGACAGGACCCGGGCGGGCAUUUCGAGAAAAAGCAGCGGUGACAGCCUUUGGUCCCCAUCUCCAUUGUUCCUGCCAGCUCUGGACCCCAGGCUGCAUGAGACGUAGGUCCCAGGGGACACCCGACCCCGUGGCCCCAGUCUUAGCAAGGGAGAGAUGCAC